GGCCGUGUGGUUCACAUCAUCCAAUCCAGAGAGCCUUCGCUCAGAGACUCCAACCCAGACGAGAUCGAGAUCGACUUCGAAACGCUCAAACCUUCCACGCUGCGCGAACUCGAGCGAUAUGUCAAGUCUUGUUUACAGAAAAAACAGCGCAAACCUUUACCUGGCACAGGGAAAAAACAAAGUGCGAAGUCUAAGGAGGAGCUUGCUCAGGAAAAGAAGAAAGAGUUAGAAAAGAGACUGCAGGACGUGAGCGGACAGCUGAACAACAACAAGAAACCGCCCAAAAAAGCAGAGAAGGCAGGCUCUGGUCCAGCAGGCGGCCCUUCAAGGCUAAGUGGAAGCAGCAGCUCUUCAGAUUCUGGGAGCAGUAGUUCUAGUGGAUCAAGCUCUGACAGCAGCGACUCGGAUUAAAAAACAAGCUCACUCAAAAAAAACAAAAAAACCUGGAACUUUUUUUUAUUUGUGGUUUUUUUUUUUUGUGGUUUAAUUUUUUUAAAUACAGAAAACGUUGUGUGCAGUCAGAAGUCUUCCCUCUGGAGACUUUAGAUUUUUUUUUUUUUUUUUAAAUAAAAGAAAGUUACACAUUCAGAACAUUUAACAUUUUUAUAAAGACUAUUUAAAAACAAAAAACAAAACAAAAAAAAAAACACAAAGUGUAAGCAAGCGUAAUAAAGUGCAAAGGCAGUUACUAUGUUAAUGCUUGGCAACAUGCCCCAAUUGGGUUGGGGGUGAGGAUGAGGCGGCCUUUUUGUUUGCCUGAGUGGAAUUCUAGAUUAGAGCAAAAUGAACGAACAAUUCAGAGGGGAGAAAAGUCUGAUUUUACAAGUCCCAGCUGUUGUGAUAUUUAUUUUAAAAAUAAAUACAUUGUGCAGCGUUUGUAAUUUUUUUUUUUUUAAGUUUAAAAUCAAGCAAACAUUUUUGCCAAGUUAUAAUUCAAUUUUUAACAUUGCACAGUGUGCUGGGAUUCUAUCUUUUAAAAAAAAAAAAAAAAAAAAUUAAGGUUUUUUUUGGUUUGUUUUACUCCUAAAUAUGUACAUGCACAGUCUAGCAAAGAGUUUGACCUGUGCACAGUCAUCACAUUCCAGUAACGUUUACCCCUGCCUUUGCAUGUAAUUAUGUCGGCCUUAUUUAUUUGACAUUUUGGGUAAAUGGUUUUAGAAUAGGUGCAUGAGAACAUGAAAGGUGUUUGUUUCUUGUCAACCUCCAUUGUUAAGUAGGCAUCUAUCUGAAAUGUCCGCUAAAAAGAAAACAACUCAAACAAAUCUUGCAGGUUCCGUAUUACAUGGCUGUAUACCUGUGCUGGUGCUUUGUCCGGGACUUCAGAUAGGGUGUGGGGACAAGCCUGCAUCUGACUCCCAGAGCUGUGUUUUUAUUAGGAAUGGAGUUACUCUAAUCUGAACACGCACGUCAUUAAAAUACAUUCCUUCAGAGAACUGGUUGCAAUUUGAUGAUAAAAAAUUAAACUAGCUCUUUUUUUUAAAAUGUUGGAUUUAGUUUUAUUUGAUCCUUGAGCAUAUAGAAGUAUCCACCUUGUAUAUGUAACCCCUUUGUUUUAAGGAUGUCUUAAAGCUGAAUCUGCAGCUUGUGAAGGUCCACUCAUGGUACAAUCAAAUUUGUGGCUUGUGUGGCUGUCCAUUACAUUGGCCAUUGUGCUUUUAUGGUUUAAGAGAUCUUGGCCUGUAGCUGUAUCCACCAUUGUUUUGAGGCUUUAAAUGCAUACCCAGGGCAGAGGCACUAUGUGUUGACAAGUUGUGAGGAAUCACAUGUACUGAACAGAAAGCAGCUGAAGGCCCAUGGAGAGGGUAGUAAUGCUAUUAUGGAGUGAAUGUUUUGCUGUGUGGAAGUGUUUUUAGCUUUUGCACUGGAUUGCUGAUGGAAACCAUGUCUUUGUUAUAAUGAAAGGUUCAAGAUACUAAAGCUUCUAACAUGGUGUAGUGCCCUCUUAUUGUAAAAGUCAACCUAAUUCAGUUGUAAAUGAUGUGGUGCUUUAAGCAUGGACUUUCAGAUAUAACAUUUUGUCAUGAAGAAACUUUCAAAAUGUAUACCUGUCUUUUUUUUUAAGCAACUUGCAAAGUUGCUUGCCCUUUAACAGGAGAUGACCUUAUUGAUUCUCAACUGGCCAUUCAAGUAAAUUCAGUUAUGUUGUCGUGGGUCUUCGUUAAACAAACUUUAAAAAUUUAAGGUUUUGUGUCAUAGUUAUUUUUAAGCUUUUGAAGUUGUUUGUAGGAGUUUGAGAUAUUACUAAUUCACUUGCUAAAUGAUGAUGCAGAGGCCACCCUGCAUUGUUGCAUUGCCAGGUUUUGGGGUUUUCUUUGUUAGCUUGCAUCUUUCAGCCUUGACUGGUAGGAACUGGAACCUGUGCAGGUGGUGUUUUAGUUCAUGCCAGCAUGUGGCACAGUUGCUUCAGUUUUGCAGCAGUGCUGGCACUUUUUGGUGGAGAUCAACAUCUCAAGAUGUAAAUGUGAAGGUGCAAACUGAAGCGUGAUAGGGUUUGUAGUAAUGACCUCUGGAUGAGGCUAUAUUUUUUAAAUUCCUGGAUUUAUACAGCAUAAUGAUAUUCUGUUAUGGUAGACAUUAUUGACAGUAUUGAGCUAUUUUAGCCCUGUAACUCCUGGCCAGCCACACAAAAAAUAAUAAUUGCUGAAAAUAUCCACCCUGGCUUCUGUAAACUCUGUUAAUACUGUGGGUAUUGGACAGUUCUGUUUCCCCAACAGCCGUCUCAUUCUUGAAUUUUAGGAUAUAGAAUAUUAUGAACUUGUAGCCUAAAAUUGACUACUUUCUUCCUUUUUAUAUAAAAAAAAAAAAAAAAACCUUUUUAAAAAAAAAAAAAAAAGAAAGUUUGGAGCUCCCGGGGUCCCUGUUCUGUAACGGUUACACUUCACUGUUUUUAACAUUUUUUAAAUAAAUCUUGUAAUAUGCUGUAUAAUGUUGCUUUAUCAGUAGAUAGGACUAGUAUUGUUUGUUUGAGGUAGAGUCUUCCUGGUCACCCGCUGCAGAUUCUUGUUUUGCUCUACAGUGACCCCAGCUGGCAGAAACAGGAGCUGCAGCAUUGUGGGAGGAGGAGCAGGAGCCUGUUUCUGUUUAGCAGGGGAGACAGAUGGCUGGCAGGCUGGGAAUCAGUAAUGAAUGUACCCACAUCACCCCAGAAUGAUUUAGGGAAAAACCAAGACUGGUAAUGCUUGUGCAUCUGGUUUAACAAAAAACAAUACUGAUACACAGCCAGAUUAAAGGGGAAUGCAGAGAUUGCAUUAUUAGAGUUAUGCUGUGUGUGUGAUUAAUGGUCUGGGAGGGUUCUUGUUGCUGUGUUUCUCAUGGAGCUGGACAGUAAGAACUUGGUAGACUGCUAAUUACCAAAUACAAGAAGUUUCGAUAGACUGACAAUCCUUGAUUCACUGUCUAAACCUCCCACCGCGAAGACUAAACUGUUGACAAAUUUUUCCACCAAAUCAAGUAUGUUUGACAAUGUUGCACCAAUAGUGAUCCCAAAAAAAAUAUUGAUUUCAAAAUGUAUCGGUCUAUCCCUUUGCGUGUGUGUGUGUGUGUUUAUACACACACAUGUCAUAUGAGCAAUAGCUGUUUCCCACCCCCCUGUGUUUUAAACAGACUGGAUUGUGUUUUAAUAUUCUAUUUAAUGUAACAUUAGAUAGUUUUAAAGCAUUAACGUUUUGCAUUAAAUGCAGACACAGCCGAUAUCCACUGUGCUAAAAAAAACAAACAAAAAAAGGGAAGACUUUGAAGAAUUUGCUUCUGUUCAAUGUCCAGAUCAGCAGCAAGUCAUGCAAGUCCCGACUCAAAUUCUACAGAGUAAUUCCUCUGUGUACCGUUCACAAUAUAAUAUCUUCUGGGUUUCCUUUUAGCGACUGAUGUCACUAGUUGAAAGAAAAAAAAUUAUAUAAAAAUAUAUAUAUUCGCCACUUUGUUUGUUUUUUAGGCCCUGACCAAGAUAUAAUAGUUUUUAUAUUUUAAAACAAAGUUUACUUUUAAUGUAUGAUGUGCAUGCAGAUUUAUUGUAAUUCUUUCUUAUACCUUUUUUUGGAGCUGUUUAUAGUAUCUUCCUGUAAAUGUCAGUCAGUGGGGGGAGGGAGGGGUGGACGGGGAUUCAUUGUAAGUAGUUUUAGGCUUGUUUAUUGCAACACUGGCCUCUGAGCCAAAAAGGGAGGACGGAAGGGAGGGUGAAUUAGAAGCUAAUAUUUGAUGUAACUGCUAACAAGGGUCCCUGUAUCUCAUAUGGGGCUUGUUUCGUUUUCAUAAAUAAACAUCAAAAAACUAAAAGAAAAA